rnacentral:rRNA from 1 species
UGAAUGUCUUCGGAUUGUAAACUGCUUUUAUAUGUGACGAUUAUGACGGUAGCAUAUGAAUAAGGAUCGGCUAACUCCGUGC